GAGAGAGAGAGAGAGAGAAAUGUCACCCGGAGUCCCGGCCCGUGUGGGAGAGGUGGCGUGUUAGAGAUGUGUGUGGGAGAGAGAGAGGGGGGGAGCGAGACCUCCGCCGGCCCCGCGGACUUGUCAAGUUGAAAACAGCAAGCUUUUGGGCUGAAAAAGCUUAGACUAUCAUGGCUACGAAAACUGUACUGCUACUCAGAAAAUACGUAAUUCUGGAACUCCUUAGUGAAAAAGUAGUGCAAGGCAACAUCAGAGCAGUUGCCAACUGAUCUUCUCUACAGCACCCAUGAACUUCAGCCUUGAACUGAAGAGGACUUACCAAAUGCCUUAGGAGAGGCAGCAUGGAAUUGGAAGAGAAAGCAGGGAUCUCCAUGAAGGGCAGUCAACUACAGUCUUGGUGUGUGGAGGAACAGGUCCUGUUCUUGCUGUUGUUACUCCCACAUAGGCGGACUCUGUAACUGAUUAUGUGUGGGUAGGGGCCUAUUGAAAUUAAGGAGAUUCUGCAAUAGCGCAGGGUUCUUUUUGUGAAAGUUCAGUUGCAAGAUCAGGACCCUACUGUGACUCCUUACUGUGAAUUCUGUCAGUGUGUCAUUGAUUGUGCUGGAACCUGCCUUUUGGGAUAAUUACCAAAUAAUAUAUUCCUCAAAACUUCUUAAUGGCACUGAGGCUUUGUGGAUAGUUGGUCACAUGAUGAGAAAAUUCAGCUGUAAGUACAUUAAAAUGAUUGAAUUUUUCAAUAGUUAGUCUUUACUGAUGUUGACAAACUAAUAAUGAUAAAAAGGUGAAUCAAGAGGUUUGACUUCUGUCAAUUGACUUCAGUUCUUUUUAGAAAAUACAUACAAUAUAUCCAUUAAGGAUUUAAUUAUUCUUGGGUAAUUCACCAUGUGAACCUGGAGUCCUUCUGUACUGCUAUUAGGCAGGAAGUUUUAAUUGGUUUAUUUUCUUUAUUUUCAGAAUAGCGUGUCUCUGACUUGCUCUGUAUUUUCACCCAUAAACUUUCUGAAAUUUAUAGAUCUAUAAAAAACUGUUUAUACCACCAGUAUUUGUGUAGAUAUUGCAAACUGAUUUACUAACAUAAUUGUCUUGCUGAGUUGAACAUUGAAAUGUUAAUAAAUACACACUUAUACUUGUGUCGAUGUAACUUGGUUAAAUUAAACUAAACUGAGCUGGCAUUAUGAGUGAGUUUGAUCAUGCAUGCCGAUUAGCUAUAGUCUUAGGCAGGAACUGCAUAUUUUAUUGUACCCAAGUGCUCUUUGUGCUUAAUCAAUAAUAAUUACCCAUAUCAUAUGUCAGUGGAUUCACCCAAAAUAACUAUAAAUAUCGGUGCUUGGAUUAAGGAGGAAGUUCUUUUCCUGUAGCUAUGGGUACAGUCAUUGCUAUGACUCCUAUUUUUAUAUACAAAUGAGCAAAAACUACAUGUAGGUGUUUUCCCUGCAUAACAAAAGGGGUGUUAUAAACUCCAUGCCCUUUUUUAUGAUGCCAUAUUUUCUUUCUGGUAUUCAAAUACAAAAACAUUUUCAAUGGGGUCUUAGUAUCUGAAAAAUGGAAGAACUGGAAAUGUUACUAAUUUUGUGAAUAUUUAUUAAGGGGCUGUAAAGGUCUAGACAAGAUGUAUAUAAGGACAAUUAGAGGUUCUUUCCCAUGGAGCAAGGACACAGAUAAUAAUUGGUGAGUAAAGAUUAAGGAGGACAGGAUUAUUUUUUUUGCUUGGGACAAGAGCAGCAUGAAAUGAAAGUAAUUUGAAGAAAGAGCAAGACCAAAGAAGAAAUCAUAAACGCGGAUCAAAAGCAGACUAGAGAGUCCAAUUUAAAACAAACAAACAAAACCAAAAACCAGAAAAUGGACGGCAAAAAUAUGCCUGAAAGGAGAACUAAAUGCAUAGCUACUGGUAUUUUUCAUUGCACUGAAUAUAUGAUAGACUUAAGUUUAAAAUUUUCAGUGUUUUUCUUUUUUUUUUUUUUUUCUGUUGGAGGGGAGUAUAUUGGCUUUGAAGAAGUCAUCAGUGACUAGUUGUGAAUUACCUGUAUAAAUUGGGGAUUCAGGAUGACAGGUACAACUAAGAACAGAGGACAAUGGGUUAUGAAUGCUAAACUAGAGUUAGUGCUAAGCAGAAGCCAUCAUUUCUUGUUCAAAUACAGAACUUACUGAUUUUGAAAUGUAUCAUCUUCAACAGAGCUCAAAACACAAUUUGAUUGUGUUUGUUACAGGAGGGGAAUUUUCAAAGUUCUAGGUUAAAAACUUAGCAGUGAUUCUUUUGAGAUUUUGCAAUAUAAAAUGAAAUUGAGAUUUUUCACUAUGAAAUGAAAUCAAGAUUUGAGAACAUUGUAUGUUUCAUUUUGCAUUAAAAAAUCUUGAUCAGCAUAUUUUGGUUUUAAAAUAUUUAGACCUAAUGGUUUACUGUUUUCACCUUUUAAUCCUAUUGGCUGUAUUUAUUCUUACUUGCAUUAAGUUGAGUAAAAGAAAGAAAAGGAGAGGGAGAUUAGGUGAUUGCAAAAAAAACCCCAAACACAGCCCUCUAGCCCUGCCCGUCCCAAAGCAGAUCAAAAGAAGUGCCUCAGAAUAGGUCUAGUUUCAGAGGAGAAAAGAAGGAAGGUGACAUGCUAGUGAGUGGGGUAUGAGGAGCCCCCUGGAUGUUUCAGAUGUAUCCAAUUUUUUCACUCAUCACUGCUGAGAGGCAGAUCACCUAGGCGUGACUGCUUCUUCCUGUCAUGGCAACUUACCCAUAUUUUGAGGGAGCUAAUGUUGGGGCACAACUCUGUUCUGCCAGCGGUAGUGCUGCUGCAAAUAUUAUUUGGAAGAAAAGGAACUCUGAAUUGUCUCCUGUAACCAGCUCUGCGCUACUCACUGCUGCUAACCUCCAUUGUUGAGCACCUGAUCUCAUUGUUUCUUUGGUUUAAUCCAUGCCAUGAUGCUGUAAAUGAUUGAAACUAGGAAAACAGCAAGAAAGCGGAUAUCAAGAGAAGGAGUUGAUGUUGUGGAAUGUAGUUAGUGGGCAUUUGCUACACAGCUACACGUUGUGUGAGCUUGGGAAUACUUCAAGAGCUGGAAUAGCAAACUACAGCAAUGGGGAGUAAGUUGCCUUUAGUGGCAAACCAAGGUGAUAUCCCUGGUUGUGUGCGCUAAGAAGGAAGAGCAAAGGAAUGUCCUGAAUAUUCAGUAUGUUAGGUGGUGUAAGUUUAAAUUGUGAGAUCUUUUUCUUUGCUGCUGUUUGUGCUUGGCUUGUAUCAUGACUGUCCUGUCUUCAAGCAGGAGGUAGCAUGGUUUUGUUUAUGUCAAAUGAUGCACCCAUCAUAUUAUCAUGUCAUGAACAUUGUUUUUCUUCAACCCCUGAAAGUCAAAGCAUGGUAGUAUAGAUAGUUGUAAUAAGUUAGUAAUAAAGGUGACAUGAAAGAAUUUUCUCAUUUCACAGUAUUUAUAGGAAAAACAAUGUGGUUUUAUGUGUUUCAUGUAUCUCCUCCCAUCUCCUUUUCCACUCCUAAGCAGACGUAAUGCAUGAAAAUUUUCUUUAGUAGUGCCCUUGGUUCUUUAUUUCCAGUUACAAGUAUUGGUCUUUUGUUGGUAAGUUUUUUCAUAUUUAGGUUGAGUCCCUAAAAACCUCUGCAUCCUCUGUGAAUGACACCAUCAUGCUGUCAUUUGUUUUAAUUCAUCAAAUCUAGGCUAAGUCUGAGUUUGGGGAAUCUUUUUCCAACUCUUUAAGGAUGGUCUUUCCUCUCUGUCAGACAAUUAUAUUUUUCAUCCAGGUUUUCCACAGAUCAUGGCUUUAUUAGAAAAUCUUUUGCCUUGGACAAAUUCAGUCUUUCCAUGCUCGUUAUCUAGUCAAAGUGCUAGUCUACUGUAAAUAACAGCUUCCAAACUUACUCCUUUGGUAUUUUCAAUUUCCUUCUUCAGUUUAAAGCAAUAAAGAUAAGCUAUCUAUCCUAAUUUUCAAGGCCCAUCAAGACUACUUCUACCCGGUACCUCUCCUUCAGUAUCGAGAGGUUGACUCUGGUUUUGAUCAACAUAUGGUGCCAGCUUUCAUCAUUCGGUCAUUGAAUUUUCAGACCACACUGGAUAUUUUCUCCUCAGCUGCCUCUUGGUUAUUGGUUGACUUCUUCAUAAACAGAACUGUUCGCUAUCUUCCUUUAAAUAUCUUCUUAAAAGUUUUAUGUACUGUGAAGCUUAAAACAAUUCAACUAAACAACAGUUACAAUGCAGGUAUAUUAAUGCCAAUAUUUAUCACAGUAGUACCCUGUCAUUGCAUUUGUACUCUGCCAUAAUUCCUCUGUUGUCUCUUUAUGUAGAAUUCGAGCACAUUUACUUUUUGUUGUGUGUUUAUUUAUGGCCCAACAUAAUGAGAAGUGGUCCAGGGUGAGGCCUCCCAAGAUUUAUGGUAAUACAAAUAAAUAAUAACAAAUACCCAGUAGAUGCUGCACUGUAGCUGUUGGAUUCUGCUGUGCUUAAUGUCACAUCAUAUUUAAUGCAGAAAAAGGUGCUCCAACUAGAGGCCUCACAAAAGGGAAAGAAGAAGUGAAUUGCAGCCAACAGAUAAAAUGCUGGCCCCAAAAGCCUUCUCAACUCUCAAACCCAAGUCAAUAGCUCCUGGCAUUGUGUCCUGAAAGCAUCCCUCUCUUCUCUUCUCCACAGCAGUGAGAACAGACUUUCCAUCCUCAUAGAAGGAAGUGAAUGCAGAUAUUACAAAGUUCUGCAGUGUGUGCAAAAGGUUAAAGGAUUUUUUUAUACUUCCAUAGGGUCCUUCUCCUCCUUAGUGCACUCCCUUCCUGACACAGCAUCUCUUGGUACAGAAAUCUUGAAUAACCACAAGCACUUGUUCCAGCCAUACUGUUGGUCAGUCCUUUUUCAACUGCCAUCUGAUCUCUGUUGAGAAGGAACCUACACUAGUUUUGAUUUGGUAUCUUGGUACAUUGCUAUCUCAUAGUGCACCGUUUCCGUUGUGCCUUGAAAGUCAUAAUUCUUCAGAAGAGUGGUAAGCACGAAUUCCAUCAGGAAUUCCCAGGUAUGUCACCCUCUUUCUGGAAGUGGAUCUGCAUGUAUCCCUUUUCUUUCUUCAGUGUCUAGAUUAUACAGAGAUGAUCGAAUCUCUAGAGCCUAGCUGAUACAGAGAUGGUAGAUUGAACUAUACGGGGAAAUGAUACUGUAUAUACUAAAGAAAAUAUAGUCAAAUAAGUUAAUUUUAUCAGAAUAAACCACAAAACAUAAUUACAAAUGGUUCUAUAUCUGAAUAGGAGAAGUCUAGUAAGAGCUCUGGACUAUUUGAUGGGAUGGAGACAGUGACUGUGGAGACUGGAGAGGACAUACAACCCGAAAGCUUGAUCAUAACAAGAGUUCUCGGUUAUCUAAAUAUAGACUGGAUAAACUUAACAUUAGGCCACAUUAGGCCAUCAUGCAGAGGCUGUAUUUUUAGGUAUCAUCAAGUACUACUUUUUUAGCAAACCAGCUAGAAAAUCCAGAAAAGGGGGGACAGCCCUUCAUUUAGUCUAGAUUAGCACACAAGAAGUGACUAUAUAAGAGCCAUUCAAUAGCGGUAUCUCAUAUCAUACACAAGUUUCUCAUACUUGUAGGAGAGAAAAAGAUUAAAAUAUAAGUAAGUCCAGUAUUGUUUAAAAAAGAAGAAUUGCAUACAAAUGAAGACACAUUUUAAAUAAAUACUAAAAGAGAUACGGGGAAUUUGCUUUCUGAUUCUAAGCCAAUUGAAUAAGAAUUGUCCAACACAACUGAAUAGUAAAGGAAGUUACUAGAAAUAGAGGUUUUUCAAAAAGUGAAAUCCAAGCAAGCAAAGCAGAAAAGAACACAAUUCUGGCAAGUUGAAUGUAGCCCUAUUGUAAGACAGAGCAAAAAGAUUUUGAAAUGCAACAGGCUAAAAUCCUAAAAGCCAAAAAGCAUUUUUUCAAGUGUAAAUUUUGUUAGUAGGGAGGUGAGUUCAGUAGAUAAUUGCAGAUAAAAGAGACUAUUUAAGGACAAAGCAAUCACAGAAAGAAACAAAUGAACUCUUUGCAUUGGCAAGGUUUGUUGCAGGGAGAUUAGGGGCAUCCCCACAUAAAAGUUGUUCUUUAUAGAGAAUAUUUCAGAUUUGGGAUAUCAAUAAAAGAUUUUUUAACAAAUUGAUUGAAUAAACAUUAUCAGAUUGCCAGAUAGCAUGUUGUUCAUUCAGUAGUCCUAGAGAAAAUCAGAAAUUGAAUUGGUGAGCCAUGAACUGUAUUGUGUGAUCUAUCGCUUAAAUUAGCCUUGAUAACAGAGGAAUGGAAAGUGACAAAUGUGACACUAGUUUUAAAAAGGACUCUAGGGAUGACCGUGGAUUAAUGGACUAAUAAGUCUACUACCAUGAUAGACAAAAUGCAGUAAAUGUGCUAAAGAAUACAAUUAAUAGGAACAUGGAUAGGUGUAAUAGGCGACCAUCAUCUUGGCUUUUCUACAAGGUAGUUUUGUCUUAGAGCUUUGCUAGUUGUUUGAAGGACUCAACUGAUACACAGGAAAGGGUGACCCAAAAGUUUUUAAAAAGCUCCAUAACCAAAGACUGUUAAAAAAAUGAAGUAUUGAGUUACUUAAAAUUCUUUGUGGAUUAGUAAAAGUUACAAGAUAAGGAACAGUAUAGCAACUAAUGGGCAGCUUUAACAAUGCCACCUCACAAAGAUUUGUACUGGCACCUUUGCUGGUCCACUUAUUCCUAAAUGGUCUGAAAAAGUGCAGUGAUAAAGAUUGCAGAUGAUAAAAGGAAAAUAUUGAGUUGGAGUUAGGCCUGAUGUUGACCCUGAAGAAUCAUAAAAUCAUAGAAUCAUAGAAUGGUUUGGGUUGGAAGGGACCUCAGAGAUCAUCUAGUUCCAACCCCCCUGCCAUGGGCAGGGACACCCUCCACUAGACCACAUUGCCCAAAGCCUCAUCCAAUCUGGUCUUAAACACUUCCAGGGAGG